UACAGAGGGUGCAAGCGUUAAUCGGAAUUACUGGGCGUAAAGCGUGCGCAGGCGGUUUUGUAAGUCUGUCGUGAAAUCCCCGGGCUCAACCUGGGAAUUGCGAUGGAGACUGCAAGGCUAGAAUCUGGCAGAGGGGGUAGAAUUCCACGUGUAGCAGUGAAAUGCGUAGAGAUGUGGAGGAACACCGAUGGCGAAGGCAGCCCCCUGGGUCAAGAUUGACGCUCAUGCACGAAAGCGUGGGGAGCCAAACAGG
rnacentral:rRNA from 1 species